AGAGUUUGAUCCUGGCUCAGGAUGAACGCUAGCGACAGGCCUAACACAUGCAAGUCGAGGGGCAGCGGGGAGGUAGCAAUACCUUUGCCGGCGACCGGCGCACGGGUGAGUAACACGUAUGCAAUCCACCUGUAACAGGGGGAUAACCCGGAGAAAUCCGGACUAAUACCCCAUAAUAUGGGCUCUCCGCAUGGAGGGCCCAUUAAAGAGAGCAAUCUUGGUUACAGACGAGCAUGCGCUCCAUUAGCCAGUUGGCGGGGUAACGGCCCACCAAGGCGACGAUGGAUAGGGGUUCUGAGAGGAAGGUCCCCCACAUUGGAACUGAGACACGGUCCAAACUCCUACGGGAGGCAGCAGUGAGGAAUAUUGGUCAAUGGUCGGCAGACUGAACCAGCCAAGUCGCGUGAGGGAAGACGGCCCUACGGGUUGUAAACCUCUUUUGUCGGAGAGUAAAGUGCGCUACGCGUAGCGUAUUGCAAGUAUCCGAAGAAAAAGCAUCGGCUAACUCCGUGCCAGCAGCCGCGGUAAUACGGAGGAUGCGAGCGUUAUCCGGAUUUAUUGGGUUUAAAGGGUGCGUAGGCGGUUUAUUAAGUUAGUGGUUAAAUAUUUGAGCUAAACUCAAUUGUGCCAUUAAUACUGGUAAACUGGAGUACAGACGAGGUAGGCGGAAUAAGUUAAGUAGCGGUGAAAUGCAUAGAUAUAACUUAGAACUCCGAUAGCGAAGGCAGCUUACCAGACUGUAACUGACGCUGAUGCACGAGAGCGUGGGUAGCGAACAGGAUUAGAUACCCUGGUAGUCCACGCCGUAAACGAUGCUCACUGGUUCUGUGCGAUAUAUUGUACGGGAUUAAGCGAAAGUAUUAAGUGAGCCACCUGGGGAGUACGUCGGCAACGAUGAAACUCAAAGGAAUUGACGGGGGCCCGCACAAGCGGAGGAACAUGUG
rnacentral:rRNA from 1 species